GCUUAUGUAGCAUAAUUGGUUAUUGCGUUCGACUUGUAAUUGGAAGGUUGGCGGUUCGAGUCCGCUCAUAAGCA